rnacentral:rRNA from 1 species
CCUACGGGAGGCAGCAGUGAGGAAUAUUGGUCAAUGGACGAGAGUCUGAACCAGCCAAGUAGCGUGAGGGAGGACUGCCCUCUGGGUUGUAAACUUCUUUUGUCUGGAAAUAAAAUGUUCCACGUGUGGGUUUUUGUAUGUACCAUAUGAAUAAGGAUCGGCUAACUCCGUGCCAGCAGCCGCGGUAAUCCGGAGGAUCCGAGCGUUAUCCGGGUUUAUUGGGUUUAAAGGGAGCGUAGGAGGAUUUUUAAGUCAUUUGUGAAAGUUUGGGGCUCAACCGUAAAAUUGCAGUUGAAACUGGCAGUCUUGAGUACAGUAGAGGUGGGCGGAAUUCGUGGUGUAGCGGUGAAAUGCAUAGAUAUCACGCAGAACUCCGAUUGCGAAGGCAGCAUACCGGCGCCCAACUGACGCUGAAGCACGAAAGCGUGGGUAUCGAACAGGAUUAGAUACCCUAGUAGUC